UACAGAGGGGGCAAGCGUUGUUCGGAAUUACUGGGCGUAAAGGGCGCGUAGGCGGCCUUCUAAGCCGAACGUGAAAUCCCCGGGCUCAACCCGGGAACUGCGUCCGAUACUGGAAGGCUCGAAUCCGGGAGAGGGAUGCGGAAUUCCAGGUGUAGCGGUGAAAUGCGUAGAUAUCUGGAGGAACACCGGUGGCGAAGGCGGCAUCCUGGACCGGCAUUGACGCUGAGGCGCGAAAGCGUGGGGAGCAAACAGG
rnacentral:rRNA from 1 species